UUUACUAAGUGUCUUAAUCUUGAUAUCCCUUUAAUAUUAGUUUUUGGUAGUGCUAAAUUCAUGGUAAUAUGUAAUAAUAUUUAUUGUAAUAUUCUUCCGAUAGUUGUUUUAAUCUGAAUAUUUCAUUAAUAUUAUUUAUGAUAUAUUCUAGAUAUAACAUAUCUUGGGUUUUUUGGUACAUAUAUAAAUUUUCCUCCAUUAAUUG
rnacentral:lncRNA from 1 species